GGGAGUUCUCGGUGCUGUAGGCUUUCGGGACGCUGUGUAUGCCCGGCAGGGGCUUCCAGUGGGGGCCACCCCAAGUCGCCUCCAGCGGGCGGAAGCGGUCGAGCCGGCGGAGCGGGUGCGGCGAGGAGCUGUAGGUUUCCUGAGCCGGAGACAUGGCCCGCCGUGCGGCGCUCGAGGCGGCCUGGAAGAGCAGAGACAGGGCUGCCGCUGCGGGUCGUGACUCCAGAGUUGGGGCGUCUCUUCUAAGCUCCAGUAGGUCAGGUAGUCCUUGCGGGGGUAUCCGGACGGCUCCGUCCUGUGGGAGCAGGGCGGGAUGGUGAGGAUACAGCUGGAUCCUUGGGGACGAGUUUCAGACCUCGGGAUCUAAGGAGUCUGCACAUUCAAACUCCUGCAUUUCCAGGCGAGCACCCCUUAGGAAGGACGCGACCGGGCACGCGUUGCCUGCGUUCCUGGGUCCUCGA
rnacentral:lncRNA from 1 species